CUCGUAUGGCAUGAUGACCAGCUAACCCCAUAUCCUAAUGAAUCCCUCGUAAUGCUUAUAUAUAUCGUUGUCCUUUUGCUCUGCAAACCCAAGCUUUUACUAGUGGAAUUUGGUGUGAUUAUUCCUUACCAAAAUCACCCAGAAUGGCCAAAAUUGCCUUAGGAUCUCAGCGAGAGGCCACCCAGCCCGACUGCAUCAAGGCCCUUAUCGUCGAGUUUAUUACCACCUUUUUCUUCGUCUUCGUCGGAGUCGGAGC
rnacentral:misc_RNA from 1 species